CUGAAAGUGUCGACAAGGUUUAGACCAUAUGAAACAGUUUUUAAGACGUCUCGAGCCACAACACCGGUGCCCCACCCCACCGAAAAACCCAUAACACAUUGCCACGUGACAUGCUACCCGACUGGUCUAACGACAUCGUCUCGGUCUGACGAGGUCACUAGAAAUUUGGCAGUGAUCCGUGUGGAUCUAUACGACACAGUGAACCCACAGAAAGUGUGCCAUCGUAUUCUGCGACGCGUUCAACAAUCGUGAUCAGUUUGCUGGAGUGAAGUUGGCCCAGUGUGUUUCAACGAGUAAAACAGUAUGUCCACCGAUCGCGACACUAUGGCAUCUAACGGACAGG